GAGCAAGCGGGCAUGCAUCCCUUGCUCUCUGCUGUUGACUGUGAUGUCACGCAGCCAAUAGCCCUAAGCUCUCCUAUUCUCGGCUUCCCUCUAACCGUGGUCUGUAAUCUGGAACUGUAAACCGAAGCCAGCCCUCCGCCUUCUUUCUAAUUUGCUUUUUGUCCGGAUGUUUCAUGACGGCCGCAGAAAUGAAACCAGAACAGGUUGCGUUUCACGGUGGCGUUGAUUUGCAUUUCCUGGUGUUGGUACCCUUCUUGGAGGCCUGAAGAUGGUGUUCCCUAAUGGUCGAGUUACAGAUAAUUGAGCCUCGAGGAUACAUCAGCUGUGGGAAACAGAGAAUGCCUGUGUCACUCCUGUGUCGUGAUGGUGAAACUGAGGCACAAAGCCUUCUGGGGAUGUGAAUGGGCAUCAACACUAGAGUCAAGGUGAGAAACAGGAAAAUGCUAGCAGGAAUAUUUGCUGGAAUCACAGACUCCUGCAGCUUCCCAAGGAUUUCCUCUUUCAAAUGGAGAUGAAACUCCUCCUACCCUCUUCAGCCCUGAAGCAAACUGGUCAGUAAGCAUCUACAGGCUUUCUUCAGCACUGGGUAAAUGAGUUCUGGGUGGUUCCUCCUGAGAGCCCUCCUCCUCGGGCAGUUGUUCUAAUGGUCAGGCUACCUGUGCCACACCACUUUUAAUAAAACAUCUUGCCUUAUCCUGUGCAAACAGGCACAGUCGGCAGCGAACUUCACAUCGUGGUGUCAUUUAGAAAAGCAAAUAACAGAUUUUUUUUCCUUCAAUAAAACAGGAAAUGAAAUUAAAAACAAGACCAGUUUCAUUUACCAGACUUGCCAUGACAAGGUUGGCCAUGGGUGAAUUUGGUUCCAGUUCAACAGUCUCGGCUACGACAGCAGCCGGGUGCACAGAGACGGCUGUGGCGUCUCCACUCUCUCUGAGCUUCAGCUGAGCUCCAGGUUAUUUUAAAAGGGGCUUUGUAUGAAUGUGUUUCUGUCUAUGUUAACAAAGCUUUCCGUAGAUGCAGAUCUAACUGAUGUGAGCCAAGAUGUGUAGUGGGGUAAACCUCAGUACUUAGACAUCCUGAAACCGAAAUCUAGACCCACACCCUGUCCGAAUACGACUUGAUCACUGCAUUUUGAUUUGGGUGGGAAACUAAAGCUAGUGCUCGCUCAGAAACACUUUCAAGCGAGCGCAAUCUGCCCAGUGGGCCGCUGUUUGCCUGCUCUAGUGCCCAGGUCAAGGGUGAUAAAUCUUACUCAGGCAACUGUAGGAAGGAAAUGGAAAGCCCAGUAUGUCGGGCUUAGUGGAGGUGUUGUAGUAACUACUUAGCAUUUACACAUGGACGCACGGCACCACGCAGGAGUUUUUCACCUCAUGCUUCCCAGUCUACUGAAAACCCGAAGGUAUGGCCCUCGUGGUCUCUCACAUAUAGACAUUGCUUACUGCCCCUAAGUGAUUCCAAAUGAAAACACAUGCGCACACACACACACACACAUGUACACACACAUAUACACACACAUACACACACGUACACACAUAUGCACACACACAUACAUACACAUGCACACACACAUACACACAUACACAUACACAUGCACACACGUACACACACGUACACGCACACAUACAUACACACGUACACACAUAUGUACACACACCUGUAUACACAUGCAUACUACAUACACACACACACACACACACACACACGUACACGUGCGCACACACACAAUUCUCAUGUUUUGGAAUAAUAGUAAUUGCUGCUGCUACCAUUGCUCUGGGCAGUAGCCUGGAACGUCAAGUGUGUUGUUUGCUUAAUUUUCAUAACAACUCCACAGGGCAGGUCUCAUUAUCUCUCUUGUACACAUGAACAAAUUAAGGGUCAGAUAGGUUAAUAUGCCCAGUGCUGUGUAGCUAAAAUUGGCCUGUUCGGUAUUUAAAUCCUGCCGUUUAUGACUUAACGCUACCUCCCCUGGCAGUAAAGAGCCAGUCUUAGGGAAACACUACAUUGCUUCCUGUCAUGAAUCCGACCUGUCUUCUUUUAGGAAGAGACUAAUUAUUAUAAUAGUCAGUUCUGACAUUACCCUAAAAAUGGUGUCACCAGAUGGUCAUAGCGUUUUAUCAACAAAGCGUUUCAUUGUAUCCUGGUUUAUUUCUUCAUUCCUGCCUCAUGGGUGGGUCUCAUUCUUAAGAUUUCUGAGGCAGGUUCUGUUCCUUGGUCUUUCCUUUGCCUCUGUUUUACAGCGUGUCCUCGAAAGACAGAGCAGCUUAAUGUUUACGAAAAUCUGUAAACACAUUAGAUUAUAAAUCGAGUGAGUAUUACGCAGGCCUUUCCCCCUCUCUCAAAUACAAGGUACACAGAGGUUACAGGUCAGAAGUUCACAGCCCAGUGAGUGCUCUUGAGUGAACGCACUCAGCAGCCAGAUCGAGAGUGAGAGCACCAGUGGUCGAGCCAAUGCCGUCCCGAAUGUGGCUGGAAUAUUACUUCAAAGUCUAUUUAUAUAAGUGACCUUUUGAAAGGUGAGACCCUCUUUAAAACAUAACUCCAUUAGCUCCACUUCAGGCUUUCUGCAUCCUGACUUGUUUACCUGUUCUCUUAGCCCCUGAGAUGUGUUUAUACAAAGGCCUGGUUGAACAGUCCACCACACUGUGAAUCCACCCGAAACACGGCACCCUACAGUCACUGGGCUAUCUUCUCCUGAUAAUUAAGAUCUGGUUUUAAUGGCGGCCAUGUUAAAAAGACAUUGCCGUUCCGAAUUGUGAAAUUCUGUUUGUCAUUAAGAAGCAUUGCCUCAAUGUUUCAGUGCUAGCUUUCCUAUCUUCAGAGGAGGAUCUGCCAUGGUCGCUUCUGUCAGAGAACGAGAGACCCGCCUCUAGCACGAUGGGCAAUACUCAACGUUCUGAGAAUCAGACUGCGUGCACACGUGAGGGGAGUCAGUUACACUUCCAAGACGAGUCCCGUAGGGUGGAACAGAUGGUGCAGGACGACGUCUCAAGGAUGUGGAAAGCAUAGAUGGAACCCGCACCACAAAUGAGGUGAACCGUGUAAGAUAAGCGAGGUAAAUACUGUACGACCAAAACUGUCCGGAUUCCAACUUUACCGCCGGGCUCUGGGUAACCUUGGUGAAGGCUCCUUAUCUUGUGCUAAAUGCUUCCUGCGACCCCAACUCUUGAGCAUAGAAUGCGGUAUCUCAGGAGCUCUCAGCUGUGGAGAAAACUACAGACGUGUGGGUAGCAGCUUAGACACUGCUGGGCACAGUAGGCUGUGAGCCACGCCUUUUGCUUCAAUAAUAUCAUAUUUUCAUUGAUUAGUUGAGGGUUUCAUACAAUGCACCUUGAUCACAUUUUUCCCCAUCUCCUUCUGCCAGUUCCUCCGAUGUCCACCCUCUCUCCUUGCCCCCUCCACCCACUUUCUUUCAUGCAUGACUUAUGGAUGAAGUAGUAGCUUAUUUAUUUAGAGGAAACUUUCUUUAUCUGUAUCGUGAAGACUAGAUCACACUUUUCCUCACAUGUGUUUUUUGUUUGUUUGUUUGUUUUAAAUUGGAUAUUUUAUUUAUUUGCAUUUCAAAUGUCAUUCCCUUUCUCAGUUUCCCCUCUGCUAACUCUGAUCCCUUCCCCACUUACCCUUCCCCCACCACCCACCCACUCCUGCCUCACCGCCCUAGCAUUCCUCUACACUGAGGCAUCGAGUCUUCACAGGAUCAAUGACCUCCCCUCCCACUGAUGCCAGAUGAGGCCCCUUCAGCUGCUUAAGUCCUUCCCCUAACUCCUCCAUUGGGGUCCCUGUGAUCAGUCCAAUGGUUGGCUUCAAGCGUCUGCCUCUAUAUUGGUCAGAAUCUGGCAGAGCCUCUCAGGAGACAGCUGUAUCAGACUCUUGUUAGCAAGCACUUCUUGGCAUCAGCAGUAGUGUCUGGGUUUGGUGUCCUAGUGUUUGGGAUGGGUCCCUAGGUGGUCUUGUGUAAAGGAAAUACAGGGACAAAGAGUGAAGCAGCGACUGAAGGAAGGGCCAUCCAGAGACUGCCCCACCUGGGGACCCAUUCCAUCCACUUCUUGUCCUCUUCUGCUUUUAAAGAGGCUGUCUCGAAGUGGAUGCUCUUACAGACUCUUCACCUGCUCUUCUGUGUGUGAUGUUGCCUGAGGCUUAAGUGUAGGCCUUCUGAGCACCUGAUUUUAAAAAGUUCAUGUAGUGACUUUUUGUAUGGUAUUGGAUCAAUACUUUGUGUGUGAUAGUGGGGAACUUAAAUAUAUAAGAUUAUGGAAUGUUAUAAUUUAAAAUAAAUUUAGACUUCACUUUAUUGUGGGAAGAGCUGGUCCCAGUAGAUAAGUGUUUGGGCCUUAGAGAGCUAGGUCUGAAGCUGGCACUCACUGGUCAUGCAAAGGCCCUCACAUGGACCUGCCUUUCCUGCAAUGCACAGUAUGCCCCACCCCCCUCCACCUGACUGCAGUCUGGUGUUUUCUUUUUCUGCACAGUCAGUUACUCACAAAACAAGAAAUUGGAAAACAUAGACACAAAGAAAGUAAGC
ensembl:lncRNA